rnacentral:lncRNA from 1 species
UGUGUUUAGGCUCGAAUUUUCAUAGGGUGUCAUCUUCUCGGAUAGUCUCAGGCCAACAUUUUUUAUUUAUUGAUAUAUCAAUUUUUUCUAAUAAAUUAGAGUUGAGGGAUCUAAAUGUACAAUAUUCUUGGUACAUGUAGAUGUUUGUUGAAGUGAACUUUUGUUAGCGUGUCAAUAUAUAUCAAAUUAAGAUAACAAAUUUUAUUGAGGUAAGUGCAUUAUCUUUCUUACUCUUCACUUUAUUUUAGUAGUUUUACUCUUUUAAUUGUUUUUUUAUUAAUGUUUAAGUUUUUUUCUCUUUUAAGUACAAGUUGUGUAGAAACUUAUGUAAUUAGAUUUAGUUAAACUCAUUUCCCAUGAAAUAUUAUCUUAAUAUACACAUUAAAAAAAUAUAUGAGUACAAUAGUUAUGGAGCAUUGGAUGAUAAGUUAGUGAUCAUUGAUACUUUAAUUCUUUUGUUGUACACAAAAUCGUACCACAAUUUUGUAUGCUCGUGAUAGACAUUGUGAAUCUUGCUUAGCUCUGCAUCUAAACUUGCUACUCAUGUUAAUUGUUCGUGAUUGACUCACGUUCAAAUGUAGUUCCUAUUGUAAUUUGUUACUUACCACAAAUGAUAAUCUCCAAUUAAGUAGGUAGUACAUAUGUUUGGUAUGGAAUUUAGGAUAUGUUUGGUGUGAAUUUGGAAACAAAAGAUUUUAUGAAAAUAAAGUUGUAUUAAUUACGUGAUGUUUUUAUGUAUGUGUUUGAUAAUAAAUCCAAAAAUUAGAUUCUAGUAAAAUGUUGUUGAUAUUGUAUUUAUAAAUUGUAAAACUAAUUGUUGUUACCUACUAAAUAUUAAAUUGUUUAAACUAUUAUUAACUAAUUUGUGCACGAGUUUUAUCAUGUUAAAAAAGUGUAUAAAUAAUUUUUUAUAAUAGCAUAUAUAAUUUGAGAAAAUUAUUUUAAAUGAUUUUCUUUUGAAAAUAUAGACACAUAAUAUAAUCUAUUAUAGUUUAUCGUGAAUAGAUUAUAAUAUUUUACAUAUUUUUAAAAGUUUUAUCAUUUAAAAUAAUUUUUGUAAAGUUUAUAACAUAAAAUAUUCCUAAAUAUUUAUAUUUAUAUUUGAUAUAAUUUUGCUUUUUAAAAUUUAAAAUUCAAAAUCUAAAUAUACUAAAAACAUUAAAAAGAAUAUAUUGUUUUCAAAAGUUAAGCAGUUUGAAUCAUAGAAUAAAAAAUUAAGUUUCAAAACAAAAUUUAGAUAGUCUAUUUAAUCUAUCACAUAAUUUAAUUUCCACCGAGUUUUAAACAUGUAAAAUAUAGCCAUAUAAAGUCUUCAAAUAUUAGAAUUUAUGUUACUAAAAUUUGUAUCUGGUCAUAAACACUUCAUAGAGUAGCAUAGAUACGUUAGCCCCAUCAAGGCAAUCUUCUAAACACAUUGUCUCUAAUACACAAUCAUUCUACAACUAUUCAUUGUUUCAAUUUAACUAUACAUCAUUUUUAAAAUGAAUAAUUUGAUCAUAUAGCAACUUUUAAAGUUGCAUUUGGAAUUAUGGAAGAAAAAAAAAACAUUAGAUUUAAAGUGUUUCAUGUAUUCAACUAUUAGAGCCUUGAAUCCCAAUAAAGUCAGCCAUAUUCCUAUUUCCCCGUUCCUUUCCAUCUUAAAGAUGAAGGCUUGUUGAGUUCUUGAACCUGAGGGGAUGUAAGUUGUUGAUUCUAGCUUUAUGCAGUUGCAAGUGAGUUGCAACGAUGAUCCAAAUCCGCAUCCGAAUCCGAACCCGAACUGAGGACAUUUUUUCUCUAUUUGAAAUUUACAUUUAUACACUUUUGUCGUCCCAAUUUGAGGACUAUACAUAGAGGCCUUUUAUAUACAGAACUUUAUGGUAAUUAAUUUUCCUAACCUAUAUUUUUUUCUCAAUGAAAAUUGAAGGGGAAAAAGAAAAGAACGGAAAAGGAAAGAAAAACUCUGUAAAGCGCAAAUAAAUAUGAAAAAGAAAAGGAAAGGAAAGUUCCCUUCGAAAUUACUGCCAUCUUCUACCAGACUUGAGUCCCGUUACAGUUUUUUUAAGACCUGUGGACAAAGCAUCAGCUUAAUUGAUGUUAAGUUUAAGGGCAGAUAAUAAACCAGAAUUUCAAUAUUCCUAAAAUUUAUAGUCCCUAAAUUUGCAUAAGACACUGUUUCUUCUAAGUUAGAAUCUUUGUCAAAUCAUUUGAAAGAAAAAAAAAUAUUUGGGAACUUAGAUACUUGUCCCAAUUCCCACAUGAAUAUCUAGUUAUCAAAUAAAUAAGACAAGUUUGAUAACAACUUUGUUUUCUUUAAAAAAUUAUACUUGUUUUCUCGGCACUUGAACUGAUCUAAAGCCCAAACCUUAGAGCAUAAAGGGUUUUUGGUAUUAAGUAUAUCUAAAAGUUUGAAUUUGGGACUUACGAGUUACUAAGUUGAAUGACCAAGAGACACCGAGCUCGUCCCAUUGGGGCCACCCCUUGAGGCUGUUUGAGUAAUGCUUUACGUCUUACUUAAUAACACUUUUGAAUUCUAAACCAAAAUUUGAAAACAAAUGUAAGUUUUAAAAACAUUUUUUUUAGUUUUCAAGUUUUAGCUUCGUCUUUUAAAAUAAUUUUAAAAACUAGGUAGUGAAGCAAGAAAACUACGAGUGUAAGUAGUUUUUAUAAGUUAAAGUUUUAAAGAAAAAUAAAUAAACAAAAUAGCUACUAAACAGAGCCUAGAUAACGUGUUACAUUAAGUUUUUAUUAAAUCCUUUUAAAAAAAGUUAAUGGUAAAUAUUGAAAUAAACCAAGCAAUAUUCAUGUAAAGGGUAAAAGUUCAAGGGAGAAAAGUACAUGAACAUGGACAAAAAUUCUAUCAUAUAACGACUUUUAUCUUACAAACUAUUAUUAAAAUUAACUACUAAUGGAAUAUAAAUUAUCUAUAUCAAGGGAAAAAGAAAAAUAAACAUUCCUUUCCUCUAAAAUAAGAGGAAGUUUAUUUUCAUUUCCUGAACAAAAAGAAUGAGGGCAAAAAACUUGAUAGAAAAUAUAAGAAAUAUUGAACUCUCACAUACUUGGUGCAGAUGAUACCCUUGAAAGCUCCUUGGAUCCUGGCGGUGUAGUUGAUGCAGUUUGUGAAUGUUUAGGCAAGGUCCUAGAAAUAGUAGCUGUAGAUCUGGGCCUGCAAAGCAUGGAGUUCAGAUGUUUAAGAAAAAACAAAAACUAAAACCACCACCAAACUGAUGGUAAAAUAAAUUUUUGUAAAAAGAAAUGUCUCGCUUUUCCAUUUCUCGAAUGCUUUAGGAUUCUUUGAAGUUUUGUAAAUGAAAUGAAUCACUCUUAAUAUAGUUUAAAGUUCAGAGAAAAAGAACAAAAGAAACAAUCAGCACACGAACUGUAAGCUAAGCUUUUGAAAGACAAAGCAACUCACUUUUCCAACCUCUCUGCUGGUUUUGUGGCUCGAGUGGAAUUCUUACUUUCUGUAGUUGCAUCAUUUUCUGUUUCAACAGUAAGAUCAUCAACAACGUCCAUUAUUCUUUCUUCAUAAUCUGGAUCUGCAAAUCCUAAUGUCUCAGCAUCUUCAAUAAUAUUCUGACCUAUGUCUAGUCGUCGACUAGCUUCAUUACGGUUCUUCACAUCAUCCAUUGAGUGAUGCGAGUCUGCUUCCGAUUGUGCAUCGCUAUGGUCUGAUGCAUUGUCAUGAUCUAAACCAUCUUUCUCCAUAGCUCCACCUAUGCUCUUCCCACCUGAAGGCUUCUGAACUCUUGGCACUACGCCAUUCACAUCUUUGUUUAUAGUAGCUGUGCUGCGCUUCUCGGUGUUGAUACCGUUGUACACAUUGUUCUUGAGGUCUUUGAGUAGCUGUAGCCUAUCAAUCUCCUCAUCCCUUUUGCUGAUAGUAUCUUUCAGAGAUGCCACCUGAAACAAGACCACAGUUUUUAUUUUUGUUAUAAACGAUUCCAAUGCAAGUCAAGGUGAGACAUGCUCACCUGGUCCAUUAGCUCUCUAACAUCCCUUCCUUCCUUAGUGCUCCGAGCUGCUCCUAACUCGACUCCAGAAACUCUCUCUGCAAACUUUAGUGUGCUCAAGGACUCAGAAUAUGAGUUCACAUCAGGGUUAAGCUGUACGAACAUAACCGUCUUUGCUUGACCACCUGCAACAGAGAUUCCAAAUUUUAUAUUAGAAGUUCUGUAGGCAAAAUGAGUAUCCUUCCAAUUUUAUUGGAUGUCCCCAAAGGAACCGCAAAAUGUGUAUCAUAUCUAUAUAAGUGAACAAAUGAAACAAAUGGUUGCUAGAAAAUUGGUAAAUAAUACCAAGAGAGCUUUGAAGGACUUGAGUGAGCUUGCUAUUUCUAUAUGGAACAUGAGAGCUCUUUUGUGCUAGAGCAAAAAUGACAUCUCCAAGUGCGGACAAUGAUUUGUUUAUAUGUUGUGCUUCCUUGAGUCUAUCUCCUGUAACUUCAGAACGGUCGACCCGCUCACUUCCAGCAAGAUCUACCAAGUGAAGAUUACCAUGCAAUGAGGAACCACCCUUCAAAUCCGCCCCACGAACGUGUAUAGUCACAAUACUGUAGGUUUGCAUGAAAGAUAAGAAAGGAAUAAUAUAAAGAAAAAAAAUUGAGAGUAUAAUAAAGUAUGCUAACCUAUGUGACCGACUACUUCUUUCGUUCAUGGCAGUGGCGCCAACUGCUCUGUUCUUCAGUCCAGUGUCCAUUAGGUCUAUAACAUCUGAGGUUGAAUUCACUGGAAGCAAGGUAGCAUCAGGUACCGCAAGUCCAAAUGGUUGGGAAUGAGUCAAAAUCCCUAGUGUGUGAGAGUUAAGAUAAACAAGAGCAAAAAAAUGUUGAAAAAACAAUCCUUAUUUGGAAUCAAGUAAUAAACCAACAAUCUUAAGAAUGUGUCAUAUAUCACAAAAAAUCAGUGGUUCAAGUCAAGUACUUAAAAGAAAAAUGACUUGUAUUUGGUGCUAACAUUAUACUGCAUAGUUAAAAAGGAUAUUUCUUCUGGGAAUUGCUUGAAAGUAGAUCCCUCACUUGUUCAUUAUAAACUUCAACCAUUUGCGCACCAACUUCAUAAGAAAUGGCACCAUUUCUAUUUUGAGAGAUUUCGAAAAGGUCAUUGAGCGCUCGAUAAUUAACUCCCCAGUUCUCCUUAGUAGCACCAUUAGGACCAGUCUUAAAGGAAACAAUGUGACAGAUCUCAUCAGCGGGAGUUAAAAAGAACUUGCUGUAUUAUUGAAACGAAGUAAAGGAAACAUACCAUCGUAUAUGUCUUUCCUGAACCAGUUUGGCCAUAGGCAAAUAUGCAUACAUUAUAUCCAUCAAGUACAGAUCGUACCAGUGGUUGGAUGUCAGAAAAAACCUCCCCUGCAUUUAAUAAAGACAACACAACAAUUAAUAGUUGCAAUAAUACCUCUGUCGCUCCAAAAGCUACGAAGACAUUCUACAUAUACAAGUACAAGAUUGCAUGAUAAAAUGAAAAGAAAGAGACCUUGAGUUGAAGCUGGGCUGUACACCUUGUUAAACUUAAAUAACUUAUGACCUUCUUUCCCAGGCUUGGUGGGGUUUGCUAUGACCACUUCUCCAUUUUCACCAAUAUAUUCUAUGGUCAUCCGUUUGUCUUUCUGCCCAGUCAAAAACGGCCUUAUUCGACAAUACACUCUGAUGUUUCCUGGUGGAAGGGAAAAAAUUAAGUGAUAGAGAAAAACAUAAAAGUGGUGAUCAACAGUGAACACAGUGGAAUUCAAUACAAGAAUUUCACCUUUUAAAUCUUGUAUCUCAUUGAACAAUUUUCUAUUUUCAGUAAGCAACACAUGAUAGUUUCCAGCUGCAUGUGCUAAUGAUUUGAGUUUGAGUCCUGGAAAAAGCACAACUUCAUCAUAAGAGCUCAUUAUUUUAAACAUUAUAUGGUGCUAAAACUUUCUCAGUCAUCACUACCUAAUUGGUUGACUUCGUUUGCAUAGUCCAUCUUCACUCUCAGAACCUCUUCUUUAACAGACUCUGAGGUGCAUCUAACACCCUAGAUAGUUCACAAAAUAAUUCUAUUAGUCAUUAUCUCUUAAAAUAACUAAAACAUGAAAAUUAUAUUCUAAUCGCACCUGUAGUAGAUUGUAUUGAAAUGCUAUCAUAUGCUUGUAGCUGUUUGCCUUUUCAUUCCAUUUUUUUUGCUUCAAUUCAAAACUUGUUGAAAGUUCUUGCACUUCAUUACUUGAAUCUUCCAAGAGGUUCUCAAGUUCUUUUAUUCUUUCCUCGAGCAUUAAUUGAGCAGAUUUUGUUUCUGUUUCCACUUCCAAGCGGCGUAAUUCAUAUGUCUUUGUAGUUGUUUCCAACUCAUGCUUUAGCACCGCAGUCUCAGUUUUACUUUCAUCUCUUUCCUUAAUCAGCCUAGUCACAUCUUCAUCUUUUUCCUUUUCAAAUUGCAAGCAUCGCAAUUCAUAUGCAUUCCUAGCUUCUUCUAACUCUUGCUUCAAUGUUACGAUUUUAACUUUGCUUUCAUCUCGUUCCUUAAUCAACCUAGUCAUACCCUCAUCAUUUUCUGUUUCUAAUUGCAAGCAACGCAAUUCAUAUGUCUUCUUAGCUGCUUCCAACUCUUGCUUUAAGGAUAUAAUCUCCACUCUACUUUCAUCUCUUUCUUCAAUUAACCUAGUCACAUCCUCACCUUUUUUUGUUUCCACUUGCAAGCGACGCAAUUCAUAUGUCUUCUUAGCUGCUUCCAACUCUUGCUUCAACAUUGCGAUCUCGGCUUUGCUCUCAUCUCUUUCUUUAAUCAACCGACUCAUAUCCUCCCCUUUUUCUGUGUCCACUUGCAAGCAAUGCAAUUCAUACGUCUUCUUAGCUGUUUCCAGUUCUUGCUUCAACAUUGUGAUCUCGGCUUUGUUUUCUUCUCUUUCUUCAAUCAACCUGCUCACAUCCUCCCCCUUUUCUGUUUUUACUUGCAAGCAACGCAAUUCAUACAUCUCUUUAGUUGUUUCCAACUCUUGUUUCAACAUUGUGAUUUUUUCUCUACUUUCAUCUCUUUCUUUAAUCAAUCUAGCCACAUCCUCGCCUAUUUCAGUUUUUAAUUGCAAACAACGUAAUUCAUAUGUUUUUUUAGCUAUUUCUAACUCUUGCUUCAACAUUGUAAUCUCUACUUUGCUCUCGUCUCUUUCUUUCAUCAACUUACUCACAUCCUCACCUUUUUCCAUUUCCACUUGCAAGCAACGCAAUUCGUAAGUCUUCUUAGCAGUUUCCAAUUCUUGCUUCAAGAGUACAAUCUCUGCUUUGCAUUCAUCUCUUUCUUUAAUCAACCUGCUCACGUCUUCAUUUAGAGAAUUCUUCUUUUCUUCCGCUUUAGUCUUCUCAGCUUGCUGCAAUUUCAAAAGCCACCUGCUGGUGAGUGUUCGCACAAGUACAAAACGCUCAUAAAAGAAUCUGGUUUGUUUCUCAAGUAGGAUUUGUUGAAAUACUUAGCAGAAAAAGCCAGAUACGAAUAAGAAAUUAUAUGCUUUCAAUAUGGUCCAGAGGCAAACCUUUGUUUGUUGGAACUGGCUAAGAACACACUGAAGAAUAAUGAAACAACAGGAGACAUAGUACCAACUAAAAGAUUUUAAUCAGACGUACUGAAUAAUACCUGAUUUUCUUCAUUAAUGUUUGACGCAAGUGCCUCCAGCACUCUUAUUCGAGACUGGAAUUUCUCUUCACGAGCCUUGAAAAGAUUGUUUUGCUGGAUAAAGAAAAUCAUGACAUAGAAUUCAAAAACAUAAUUCAAAGGGAAAAGAAUCAGGCAAAAAAACUUAGGACAUACAGUUCGAAGAUGAUCUGCUUGAGUAGAAAUACGCCGCUCAAUUUCUUGAACUACUUUUCUUAACAGGCAUGCCACACGCUACCAAAAAGACAAGUAAUGUCAAGGAGUGAACAUUUAAGAAAAAAGUAUAACCAACAAAUAUGCAAACGGCUAAGUUCUUUUGAAUGCAACACUUAAAGCAUUUACAUGGCCAUACAUGAGGAAUUUCACCAUUCUUUUUCUCCAGACUUUCAUCAAGAAUUCCGUUCACCACACUCAAAAGUGAUUGUGUUGGAGCAUUCUGCAAUAAGAGAUGCUGAAGAUCAAAGUUAAAUAAACAAUAUAUGUCACAGAAAGACUAUACACAAUCUGAAUAGAUGAAGCUUAUUACACACAAAAUAAGGGGGUAGGAGGUGGGGGAUCAGAAGAACUUACGUCGAGACUAUUUGAUUUCAUCAUUUCUGAAAUUUUUGCAGCCGGAAUAUCAGCAUAACGACCUUGCUUUAAUUGAAAUACUUCGUGAAACUUAUGACCAACUUGGUGAUUUGAUCCUACUAAUGAUUCUGUUGUAAAAGAGAUUGUCUAUAAGACCUAAGUGCCUGUACUAGAUCAAAUUUAGUAACUAGUGGUUGAACUGAGUCAAACAUGAUGUCUGUCUUCGAGUUAUAUUUUAAUAGAUCUUUCUGCAUUUUUUACUUCAAAUUAAAUUCCUAGCUUUCUGUUGAAUUUUCAAGGUUUCAAAAUGAUAAACAAGUAAAAUCCAUUUUAGCUGCAUUCUUUGUUAGGAGGCCAACAUAAUUCUUCUACAGUUAUACAGUUGAUAUUUGCAAAAGUCAAACCUGACAUAAUUGGACUACUCAGGGUACGAAGAAAUUUGGACUCAAAUAAGACUUUCCUCCUUUCUUCUCCCAACAUAGGAGAAAAAGGUUCAUGUAAGGAUGUGUCGAAACGAAUGUUUUCUGACUUAGCAGGUGAGUUACAUCCCAAAGGUUUAUCUCCCACGUCAUUUGACAUAAACCGUGCUCUAAUUGACCAUAAACAGUUGUAAACAGAGUCCAUAGAUCCCUGAAAUUUAACAACACCUAAGAAUGAGAGUGAGAACAAGAAAGAAGAGAAAUAUACAUAUGAAAUAGAGAACUAUGUAAUUAUUUUGGUUCACGUCCAAAUUGUAUUUACACAUAAACACAUAUUUAAAAGCAUGUGCAAUAGAAGUCUAUGAUGAACUCCAAGGACAAGCAUAUCAAUGAUUCAAUAGUACAACUAUUAUGUGAAAAUCAAUUAUGAGAGAACUUUCUAAAUCUAGGCACAUUACAUCUUCAAUGUCGGCACUGUCUAAUUUUAGGAUCCCCAUGCUGGAUAUAGCGGCAAGGAACCUCGUGAUCUUCUCCGCCCGUGAAGCCAAAUUGGGGAUAACAUAACCUCCCUAGCGUCAGAAAACUGAUACUCAUAACAGUGAACGGUAUGAUAUGACAAAAAGACUAGAAAAAAGAACAAAAGUUGUGGAACAAAGACAAAACCAGUUGAAUAAUACCUCCUUCGCAGAACCAGGUUUUUUUAGCUUGUUCAGAACUUGGGACAACACAUUCGCAUCCAACAAGCAUGCUUUGAGAUCCUCAUCGGAAGCAUUGAUUGGCAAAUUUAGACCAGGGAAAAUACUCCUCAACCACUCAGCUAAAAUCAGUAUCUGCUUAGCUGCAGUAGAAUGUUGUAAAAGAAUUGAAAGUUUGUUUUGGUUUUCGAUCAGAAUGCAAAUGCAGACUGUUGACAGAAAAAAAGCCUCACCAUUCCUAUCUACAAAGGGUCUUCCAUUAACAGCUGAGUUUGAGAUGCUGAGUCCAGCAUAAUCUCUGUUGUUCUGCUCUGAUGUUGAAUUCAUGGUUGAAAACUGCUAGGGAGUGGCAUCAAGAAUAUAGCUUAGCCACUAACUUACAAGAAUAAUAUGCUCCUGUAGCAGGAAAAGAAAUAUUACCAUGGUGCAGUGAAAAAAGCUUGUGUCUUCUACUAAUGAACAGAAAGGAAAGAAUAAAAAACCACAAAAGAAAUAAAAUACCAUAAAGAAACCAUUAACAUAAUACCAGAAAAAACACUAUACAUUGCAUAUAUUUGAGCUCAACCAUAAAUAUAAACAGAAUGAAUUGAGAUUCUAAUUCUACAUCAUCCUACCAUCAACCCCACAAAUUAAAUGUAGACUUGACAUGUUUGCAGAUGACAGAAUAUGGAAAAGAAAAAAAGGUGAUCCACCAACACUGCAUCAUCUUUAAAGAAACACAUAAAAAUUCUUCAAUAAAUUCCGCUUUCUUAAACAAGACAUAACAUAUAGAGGCCGGGAUUUGAACC